CUUGCGACCACAUCACGUUGAAACACCAGUUCUCGUACGAUCGCCAAAGUUAAGCAACUUCGAGCUUGGUCAGCACCUCGAUGGGUGAACGCUUAGGAAUAUCAAGUGCU